rnacentral:rRNA from 1 species
GAUGAACGCUGGCGGCGUGCCUAAUACAUGCAAGUCGAGCGAACAGACGAGGAGCUUGCUCCUCUGACGUUAGCGGCGGACGGGUGAGUAACACGUGGAUAACCUACCUAUAAGACUGGGAUAACUUCGGGAAACCGGAGCUAAUACCGGAUAACAUGUUGAACCGCAUGGUUCAACAGUGAAAGACGGUUUUGCUGUCACUUAUAGAUGGAUCCGCGUCGCAUUAGCUAGUUGGUAAGGUAACGGCUUACCAAGGCAACGAUGCGUAGCCGACCUGAGAGGGUGAUCGGCCACACUGGAACUGAGACACGGUCCAGACUCCUACGGGAGGCAGCAGUAGGGAAUCUUCCGCAGUGGGCGAAAGCCUGACGGAGCAACGCCGCGUGAGUGAAGAAGGUCUUCGGAUCGUAAAACUCUGUUAUUAGGGAAGAACGAAUGUGUAAGUAACUAUGCACGUCUUGACGGUACCUAAUCAGAAAGCCACGGCUAACUACGUG